GAGCAACGUUUGAAACACAGAUUCAUAGACUUCGACCUGCUUCGACGUAUGAGAGUUGAGAGGGACGGACGUAGAAGGUAUUUUGUGUGUUACUGGUAUUUAAUUUCCAGCCGUUCAUGUCAAGAUGAAAGAUAAGAGUUAGAGUUCUAGGGCACUACUAUAGCUUAAGAGACGUUUGUCAUAGAUCUUUGUGAAAAACUCCGUAUAUACUUAACUUGUGACUUAAAAAAUCAUCAUUGAAAGAUGGCUCAUCAGUUCUUAAUGAACAUGAUGGGAUUAGGUGAAAGCAAAGAAUUCAAUCAAGAAUUGGCACAAUUUCCCUCUGAAGAAAAAGAGAUUCUUAACAAUACUUUCUUGCAGCUAUCAUCUGGUAAUAAGAAAAUUGAUAGACCAACUGUAGAGAAUGCCCUGAAACAAUUACUCCCACUACCAGAAGUAGAUGUUUUGGCACAUCGUAUUUGUGACCUGAUGACUGGCCAAAUAUCAACAAAUAAUACUGUUACUUUUGAGGGUUACAUUCACUGUGCAGCUGUAAUGAUCAAUGGAAUGCUUGAAGAUAAAGCAACUCAGCUUAUAUAUAUGGCCAAAGGAAGGAGAGGUGCAGCUACAUACGAAGAAUUAUUUUAUUUUUCAACGCAAAUAAUUCGACUAGCUUUUCAAAUCAUCCGGAAACUUCCGUCUUUUCGCUCUUGGGAUGGAAAUUAUAUGUGCAGUUUAGAAGACGAUUCCAUUAAUCGUUUGGCGGCGGCCAUAAUGAAUGAACUCAAGAGCACUAAAAUGGAGAGCUUCGAUAAUCAGGCGGUUUGUGCUUGGCUUUCAGGGAGCAGCUUGUUAAAUGAAUUUCAUGGGAUGCUCGCGGGUCACAUUUUCCACUUCCCAUUGACCAAAGGAAAGUCACUUAUUCCUCUUUGCCGAGGGAUACCAGCUCAAGUAUAUCCUUCGUGGUUGUCACUUUCCGAUAUACUUUUUAUUAAUUGUGCCCUACCACACGAGUUCCGAAGUGAAUGGAGAUUAUUGUUUUCUAGCCGCAUACAUGGGGAAAGCUUUUCUAGCCUCAUGGGUAACAUUAUUGAUAAAGGACCAAGUGUGGUUUUCGUUAAAGACUUUGAUGGCCAUAUAUUUGGUGGGUUUGCUUCAACUAGCUGGAAUAUUGGACCACAGUUUAAAGGCACAAAGGAUAAUUUCAUCUUCUCUUUGGCACCUGAAAUGGCCUUAUACAAUUCAACAGGCUUCAAUGAUCACUAUCAGUAUUUAAACAUUCAGCAACAGACUUUCCCAAAUGGAAUGGGAAUGGGCGGCCAGUUGGAUUAUUUUGCUAUCUGGAUUGAUUCUGAAUACGGAAAAGGCAAAUGUUCACCAAGUUGCACGACAUUCAACUGCCCUCAGUUAUCGGGCAAGCCAGAGUUCUCCAUCGAUAUGGUCGAAGUUUGGGCCGUUGGUCCAGAACCAACUGAUGAUGAAUCCGUGACUAAAAGUGACAUGGCUGGAAGCGUACUGGACACCAACCGCGAGGGCAGAGCCAUGCUCGAUAUAAUGGGCAAAGAGAGACAUAGCGAAGGACUGCGUGAGCCAGUAGAUGAAGAUUGACCUCUGUCUGGGUCAAGCACGUAGACGCUGAGACGAGACCAAGCAUACUGGACGUAGAUGUAGAAGGAACAGCCAUGCUUAGAAUGUUAAAUCGAGGCCCAGUUUCAGAAGGAAUGCGAGAUAACCCUACAUCUGCUGAUCCCGAAGAAAAAGAACUUUAUGUGUCAUCCAUUUCAAACUGAAAGCUUCAAGAGCCUACAAUUGAUGCGCCACAACAAUUCCAUUUUUUAUCGCCAAAAGAGCUGAGAUUUUUCUAUUUUUUCCUUACAUCG
rnacentral:misc_RNA from 1 species